rnacentral:rRNA from 1 species
AUUGAACGCUGGCGGCAGGCCUAACACAUGCAAGUCGAACGAGUGGCGGACGGGUGAGUAAUGUCUGGGAAACUGCCUGAUGGAGGGGGAUAACUACUGGAAACGGUAGCUAAUACCGCAUACCAUCGGAUGUGCCCAGAUGGGAGUAGCUAGUAGGUGGGGUAAAGGCGCACCAAGGCGAAGAUCCCUAGCUGGUCUGAGAGGAUGACCAGGCACACGGGAACUUAGACACGGUCCAGGCUCCUACGGGAGGCAGCAGGGGGGAAUAUUGCACAAUGGGCGCAAGCCUGAUGCAGCCAUGCCGCGUGUAUGAAGAAGGCCUGCGGAUUGUAAAUUACUUUCAGCGGGGAGGCGUUACCCACAGAAGAAGCACCGGCUAACUCCGUGCCAGCAGCCGCGGGAAUAC